CGAGUGGCGAACGGGUGAGUAAUAUAUCGGAACGUGCCCAUUAGUGGGGGAUAGCCCGGCGAAAGCCGGAUUAAUACCGCAUACGACCUGAGGGUGAAAGCGGGGGAUCGCAAGACCUCGCGCUAUUGGAGCGGCCGAUAUCAGAUUAGCUAGUUGGUGGGGUAAAGGCCUACCAAGGCAACGAUCUGUAGUUGGUCUGGGAGGACGACCAGCCACACUGGGACUGAGACACGGCCCAG
rnacentral:rRNA from 1 species